GAUGAAGAUCGUAGCGAAAUGCGAUAAGUAAUGUGAAUUGCAGAAUUCAGUGAAUCAUCGAAUCUUUGAACGCACAUUGCGCCCGCCAGUAUUCUGGCGGGCAUGCCUGUUCGAGCGUCAUUUCAACCCUCAAGCCCCAGCGGCCUGGUGUUGGGGACCGGCGACCUCGCCCGAGCCCGCCCUCCGGGGCGCGUGCCCGGUGCGUCCGCCGCCCCCGAAAUGAAUUGGCGGCCUCGUCGCGGCCUCCUCUGCGUAGUAGCACAACCUCGCAAGCGGGAGCGCGACGCGGCCACUGCCGUAAAACGCCCAACUUUUUUAGAGUUGACCUCGGAUCAGGUAGGAAUACCCGCUGAACUUAAGCAUAUCAAUAAGCGGAGGA
rnacentral:misc_RNA from 1 species